ACCAAGUUUUGAAAGUGUGGAGCCAGAAUCAAGUCCAGGCUCCUUUUCUAGAUUUUGUGAUGUCUGUUAUUUGUCAGUUGUUAAAAAUUUCUAAUUUGGUACCAAUUUGAUGGAUAACCCCCCACAAAGUUACAAGUUUCAGUCUUCUGGAUCUGCUUUGCAGUUCUCAGAUCCAUAUGCCGUCUUCCAGAUACACUUGCCUGACCUCCCUGCUUCAUCCCAUGGCCACAAACGACAAGCUGGGAGUCUCCAGAUUCCAAAUUCCAAGGCAUUGUAAUCAUUGUUUUUUAUUUGAAGCCACAUCCAUCUAUUCCAUUAUUCCACCGUACGGUCAGUAUGACACAAGUGAUGUUUGUCUCCAGGAUUAUAAUU